UACGUAGGGUGCGAGCGUUGUCCGGAAUUAUUGGGCGUAAAGAGCUUGUAGGCGGUUUGUCGCGUCUGCCGUGAAAAUUCGAGGCUCAACCUCGAACUUGCGGUGGGUACGGGCAGACUAGAGUGUGGUAGGGGGAGACUGGAAUUCCUGGUGUAGCGGUGAAAUGCGCAGAUAUCAGGAGGAACACCGAUGGCGAAGGCAGGUCUCUGGGCCACUACUGACGCUGAGAAGCGAAAGCAUGGGGGAGCGAACAGG
rnacentral:rRNA from 1 species